UACGAAGGGGGCUAGCGUUGCUCGGAAUCACUGGGCGUAAAGGGUGCGUAGGCGGGUUUUUAGGUCAGGGGUGAAAUCCCGGGGCUCAACCCCGGAACUGCCUUUGAUACUGGGUAUCUCGAGUCCGAGAGAGGUGAGUGGAAUUCCGAGUGUAGAGGUGAAAUUCGUAGAUAUUCGGAGGAACACCGGUGGCGAAGGCGGAUCUCUGGGCAGUAACUGACGCUGAGGAGCGAAAGCGUGGGGAGCGAACAGG
rnacentral:rRNA from 1 species